UGGGGAAUUGUUCGCAAUGGGCGCAAGCCUGACGACGCAACGCCGCGUGGGGGAUGGAGGUCUUCGGAUUGUAAACCCCUGUUGGGUGGGACGAACACUUUCGUGGUGAAUAGCCAUGGAGGCUGACGGUACCACCGGAGGAAGCUCCGGCUAACUCUGUGCCAGCAGCCGCGGUAAUACAGAGGGGGCAAGCGUUGUUCGGAAUUACUGGGCGUAAAGGGCGCGUAGGCGGAUCGUUAAGUCGGGGGUGAAAUCCUGGAGCUCAACUCCAGAACUGCCUUCGAUACUGGCGAUCUUGAGUCCGGAAGAGGUGAGUGGAACUCCUAGUGUAGAGGUGGAAUUCGUAGAUAUUAGGAAGAACACCAGUGGCGAAGGCGGCUCACUGGUCCGGUACUGACGCUGAGGUGCGAAAGCGUGGGGAGCAAA
rnacentral:rRNA from 1 species